CACAGCCCAGUGCAGCCCGGGCUCUCAUUCACAGCUUUCUAGAGAAAUCUGAGAUCCAACUGCCAGGGUAGGGGAUAUCACCCACCCAGUUCAGCCGCGAGGACACCUGCAGAAACACAUUCUCAAAGCAAGCCUGGGCGGCGGUGUGAAGUAAGCAAUGGCUUCGGUUUUCCUUCUCUUUUGGAUGGCCACCACCACAUAGGGCCUGAAUGUCCUGCUGUUUUCCAAGGACAGAAAGAAGACUCUGUACCUGUCUGUUUGGAGAGCAGUCUUGUAGGAGAGCCAUCGAAUGGGCCGCGGAUUCAGCACAUUUCCAUGUGAAUGGGACCAGUUUCUGUCUUCCCAAACCUCAGAGCAUAACCACUUGGAAGGAGAUUUGCCAAGAUGACACAUUUGCAGGCCGGGCUCAGUCCAGACACGAUAGAGAAAGCUCGCCUGGAACU
rnacentral:lncRNA from 1 species